rnacentral:rRNA from 1 species
CCUACGGGGGGCAGCAGUGGGGAAUAUUGCACAAUGGAGGGAACUCUGAUGCAGCGACGCCGCGUGAGUGAAGAAGUAAUUCGUUAUGUAAAGCUCUAUCAGCAGGGAAGAAAGUGACGGUACCUGAAAAAGAAGCUCCGGCUAACUACGUGCCAGCAGCCGCGGUAAUACGUAGGGAGCAAGCGUUAUCCGGAUUUACUGGGUGUAAAGGGCGUGUAGGCGGGCAUGCAAGCCAGAAGUGAAAUCUGUGGGCUUAACCCCCAAACUGCUUUUGGAACUGCGUGUCUUGAGUGA